GAUGAACGCUGGCGGCGUGCCUAAUACAUGCAAGUCGAGCGAACGGACGAGGAGCUUGCUUCUCUGAUGUUAGCGGCGGACGGGUGAGUAACACGUGGAUAACCUACCUAUAAGACUGGGAUAACUUCGGGAAACCGGAGCUAAUACCGGAUAAUAUUUUGAACCGCAUGGUUCAAAAGUGAAAGACGGUCUUGCUGUCACUUAUAGAUGGAUCCGCGCUGCAUUAGCUAGUUGGUAAGGUAACGGCUUACCAAGGCAACGAUGCAUAGCCGACCUCAGAGGGUGGUCGGCCACACUGGAACUGAGACACGGUCCAGACUCCUACGGGAGGCAGCAGUAGGGAAUCUUCCGCAAUGGGCGAAAGCCUGACGGAGCAACGCCGCGUGAGUGAUGAAGGUCUUCGGAUCGUAAAACUCUGUUAUUAGGGAAGAACAUAUGUGUAAGUAACUGUGCACAUCUUGACGGUACCUAAUCAGAAAGCCACGGCUAACUACGUG
rnacentral:rRNA from 1 species